AUGGCGUCGUCGUCGCUGACCGACGCCGCCGCCACUGAUCCCCACCCGACCCCCGCCCCAAUCGCCGUCCCCAGCCCGCGGGAACCUCUGCGCACCACCUGCUCGACCGCCGCGACACGCCGCGCGGGAGGGCGACGCUCGCGAUGGACGGGACUCCGCCGCGCAAGCCGGAGGCGAAGCUGGCGGCCGGCGAGGCCGGGUACGUCCUCGAGGACGUGCCGCACGUCUCCGACUACCUCCCCGAUCUCCCGACCUACCCAAACCCACUGCAAGAUAACACAGCAUACUCGGUUGUCAAGCAAUACUUCGUUGAUCCGGAUGACACUGUCUGUCAGAAGAUUGUUGUCCACAAGGAUGGCCCAAGAGGAAACCACUUCCGUCGUGCUGGACCUCGCCAAAGGGUAUAUCACGCCGUGUUUAUGCUUACAUAGCGAUUUUUGUCUCCAUCAGGUCUAUUUUGAACCUGACGAGGUCCAUGCAUGCAUUGUCACCUGUGGAGGACUCUGCCCUGGACUUAAUACUGUGAUUAGGGAAAUUGUAUGCGGCUUAUCUGACAUGUAUGGUGUUACCAAGAUACUUGGGAUUCAGGGUGGGUAUAGAGGUUUCUACGCUCGGAAUACCAUCGACUUGACUCCAAAGAGUGUAAAUGACAUUCACAAAAGGGGCGGAACUAUUCUUGGCUCGUCACGAGGAGGCCAUGACACCAUGAAGAUUGUUGAUAGCAUUCAGUACCGUGGUAUAAAUCAGGUGUAUGUUAUUGGUGGUGAUGGUAGUCAAAGGGGUGCAGGAGUGAUUUUUGAAGAGGUCAGAAAGCGUGGUCUCAAAGUUGCUGUUGCUGGCAUUCCUAAGACUAUUGAUAAUGACAUCCCGGUAAUUGAUAAGUCCUUUGGUUUCGACAGUGCAGUCGAGGAAGCUCAACGUGCCAUAAAUGCCGCUCAUGUAGAGGCUGGAAGUGCUGACAAUGGAAUAGGCCUUGUAAAGCUAAUGGGACGAUACAGUGGUUUCAUCGCACAUUAUGCCACCCUAGCAAGCAGAGAUGUGGAUUGUUGCUUGAUUCCGGAGUCACCUUUCUAUCUGGAAGGUGAAGGUGGGCUCUUCAAAUAUAUAGAAAAGCGUCUGAAGGAGAAUGGCCAUAUGGUCAUUGUCGUUGCGGAGGGUGCAGGACAGAAACUUAUUGCCGAAAACAUGAAGGAAAUGGGGCAAGAUGCUUCUGGCAACGCACUGCUUCUUGAUGUUGGUCUUUGGUUGUCUCAGAAGAUAAAUGAGCAUUUCAAGAAAAACAAGACAACCAUAAAUCUGAAGUACAUAGAUCCUACAUACAUGAUACGCGCCAUUCCUAGCAACGCAUCGGAUAAUGUUUACUGCACAUUGCUGGCUCACAGUGUGGUCCACGGAGCCAUGGCUGGAUACACCGGUUUCACUGUCGGCCAAGUAAACGGCCGGCACUGCUACAUUCCCUUGUACAGGAUCACAGAGAAGCAGAACAAGGUCUCGAUAACUGACAGGAUGUGGGCAAGGCUUCUCUCCUCCACCAACCAGCCGAGCUUCCUCAGCAAGCAAGACGUCGACGAUGCCAAGGUCGAGGACGAGAGGACAGCCAAGCUCUUGGACGGCUCGCCUUCGAACCCCAAGGUCGAAGAUAAAGUCCGCAUCGAUUAG
rnacentral:rRNA from 1 species